GGGAGUAUAACUUAAUUGGUAGAGUAACAGAUUUUUAAUCUGCAUCAUUUGGGUUCAAGUCCCAAUACUCUCA
rnacentral:tRNA from 1 species